UGGGCAACCCCCCUUCCCCCUGUCCCCCGAGCACAGUCAGCUCUGAGGUGUGCUUUAAAGCUAAUGAUUUUUCACCCGAACCCUCUUGCCCCUCACCUCUUCGGCGCCCCGAUCCGUCAGGGGUGAGACUCAGCCCGCUCUCCGCCCGCCGCACUCAUUCAUCCUGCCUGUCCUCCAUUAUUUACGCGUUGUUAAGGAGCGCUCGGGCUUUCAGGAUUCGGCGGUCUGUGAUUUACAGACAACGGGAAAAUAUGCAUAAUACUGGAAGCUACCCUGCUGGGAUAGGCACUCCAAGGACAAUUUCUCUUUGUGACGAAAUUGGGCAGUGCUGUGAAAUUACAUCAGAUGUAGCCUUGCUUAUUUUUUCCUAUUGUUGUCAACACAACAUAUGCAAACUCUUUUGA
rnacentral:lncRNA from 1 species